GAUGAACGCUGGCGGCGUGCCUAAUACAUGCAAGUCGAGCGAACAGAUAAGGAGCUUGCUCCUUUGACGUUAGCGGCGGACGUGUGAGUAACACGUGUGUAACCUACCUAUAAGACUGGAAUAACUCCGGGAAACCGGGGCUAAUGCCGGAGAACAUUUAGAACCGCAUGGUUCUAAAGUGAGAGAUGGUUUUGCUAUCACUUAUAGAGGGACCCGCGCCGUAUUAGGUAGUUGGUAAGGUAACGGCUUACCAAGGCAACGAUACGUAGCCGACCUGAGAGGGUGAUCGGCCACACUGGAACUGAGACACGGUCCAGACUCCUACGGGAGGCCGCAGUAGGGAAUCUUCCGCAAAGGGCGAAAGCCUGACGGAGCAACGCCGCGUGAGUGAUGAAGGUCUUCGGAUCGUAAAACUCUGUUAUUAGGGAAGAACAAAUGUGUAAGUAACUGUGCACGUCUUGACGGUACCUAAUCAGAAAGCCACGGCUAACUACGUG
rnacentral:rRNA from 1 species